UCGCCUGCAGCCCCGGACCCCGCCGACUGCUCCCCCGACGAUGUCUCGGCACUGCUGCGCGGGCUGAAGGGCGGCUCUGGGUCGGGGCGAGCCGCCGAGCGUUUUCUGGGCUGUGCAGGAGUCUCGUCCCCUCUGAACCCAGGCCUGCCCGCCCCCCCCCCCCCGCCCUUUGAGGCGCCGCGGCCCUCGCCGCGCUGGGGCUUCGCAUCCGAGAGCAUUCCUGUGGCUAAAGGUCGAACAAAUCUUCACAAUUCGCUGCUGGAAUCUUGUCACUCGUUACAGCGACGCAUUCGUCUGGCAAACCGGCGUGUAAGGCGGGGAGCGGCUUUGCACAAACCCGACUCGCCAUGGUUUUGCUCUCGGUAGAAACCGUUUUUCUCGACGUCAUGGGCUACACUGACUUAAUUUACUGAUAAAGGAAGGAGACAUUUCCUGAGCUGGAGGAUUUUGCUAUCAAUGUCAUCUCCUGGCUGCAAAGGUUGUAGUGACAAGGUGAAUCUCAGUCUUCCUUCCAGCCCAUGCAGUGUUGCAGGCAGCUGGCAGCUAAGGACAGACAGCUGUGAGAUAGAGGUGGUUUCUUCUGGCAGCAUCUACCAUCCUCAGCAAUACGGUGCCCC